CGAGUCUCUGGGCGCUCUCCGGGGCGCUGCUCUUUAGAGGCUCAGGCAAGGGGACUGGGAAUCCUGGUUAGAUGAGGCAGCGGCGGCGGCGGCAGCCCUCCCGGGUCCCACUUCCGUGGCGAAUCCUCCUGCCUGGGACUCCAGGCAAGUGACUUGCAUCAGAAGUCUCAGCUCCAAAGGCUUUGCUUUAAGCAGCUGGAGCUUUGACCGUUCGAGGGCCAUCCCUGGGGGAGCAAGUGGCAGCCUGAGAGGCGUCCGCCUCCCCUCUGAUUUCCUGCACAGUUACCGAGGGGUAGUGUGCUAGAAAUGGCUUUGCUGUCGAAUGAAUUAUCUUGCCAUUUUCAUGUCCCGAUACUGCAUAAACAAUCACCUGAUCGAUCGGAAUAGGAGGGAAAGGUAGAGUGGAAAUUGAUUUCUUGCAGAGACUGAGUCGCCGGAUGAUAGAGGGAAUAAACAUUUGCCCUGGAUAGAAAUGUUCUUGGCUAUAUUCCAUCCUUAAUGAUGUCGUAGAACAGAAGUUUUUCUUCAGUUGACUCAUUUUACCAUAAGGAUGGAUGGCUUCUGUGUGUUUCUGCUUUACAGAGAAUGACAAAUGUUGCUAAGAGGCUCUGAGGUCCACCUAAAGAGGAUCAAUAUCCUGAAUUACAUUCAUUUCAAAUAAACCUUAUCAAUUCUGAUACAUAGAAAAUGUACUUUUCAUAUAAGACCUCAAUAUACUGCCUAACUCUACUUGACCUAAUUUGCUAUUCAAAGAAAUCCAACAUGACUUAAAUUAGAAAAAAUGUUAACUUUGAUUUUUUUUAUAAAAAACAAAUGUAAGACUGCUAUUCUUAAAUAUUUGGGGCAAAAGAACCACAUAAGAAAAAUACUAAUUUUAUAAUCUACAGUUCCUAAACUUUAAAAUAGUUUGUAGCAUUUAAAGUUUUAUUAAACAAUUUAAGUAUUUAAGCAUUAUAUUAAAUAAUAUGUUUACACUUAAUCAACUCCAAAAUAGCUGCCUUUUAUCUUCUGAACAAAUCUGGUUUGUACUUGCACUGCUCUCAAAAAUUACACAUUUCUGCUUUAUGUUGAGAUUAUUUUAUCCUAAAUGAUCAAAAUGCACAUCUGCAUUUGGUAAUUUAGUACAUUUUACAUGAUUGGUAACAUUUUUGUUUGCUAUCCUGGUAGCUUCUUUUACAUGUGUGAGUAAAAACUAAUAUAUUUUUUACCUAUUAACUCACUGCAAUUUCUAAUUGAUAGCAACAUUCAAGAAAUAUUAGGGCUGUGGAUAUAGCUCAGUGGAAUAAUUUGUCCUUAGCCAUGAGUCAGGCCCUGGGUUUGAUCCCCAGUACAGCCAAAACAAAAGAAAGAAAGACAUAUUGUAUUACAGAAAUUGUGAUGUGAUUUGCUCAUGAAGCAAGAUGUCCAUAUACUUAUUAUUUUUAAUUUUAAAUCUAAUUUUUAACAAAAGUGAUAUGAGUCAAUUUAGAUUGUCCUUUGCAUACAAAAGACCCUUAUACAUGACCCACAGUUAUUCAUAUAUAAUUUACCUCAUUAAAAAUAUUGAAAUUUA